UGGGGUCUUGGCUCAGUGGAAGAGCACUUGCCUCAUAUGUAUGAGGCACUGGGUUCAAUUCUCAGCACCACAU
rnacentral:tRNA from 1 species